rnacentral:rRNA from 1 species
CCUACGGGAGGCAGCAGUGAGGAAUAUUGGUCAAUGAGCGGGAGCCUGAACCAGCCAAGUCGCGUGAGGGAAGACGGUCCUAUGGAUUGUAAACCUCUUUAGGCGGGGAGCAAUGCCGGGCACGCGUGCCCGGAGGGAGAGUACCCGCAGAAUAAGCAUCGGCUAACUCCGUGACAGCAGCCGCGGUCAUACGUAGGAUGAGAGAGUUAUCCGGAUUUAUUGGGUUUGAAGAGUGCGUAGGCGGAUUUUUAAGUCAGCGGUAAAAUGUCCGGGCUCAACCCGGGCCGGCCGUUGAAACUGGGGAUCUUUAGUGGGCGAGAAGUAUGCGGAAUGCGUGGUGUAGCUGUGAAAUGCAUAGAUAUCACGCAGAACUCCGAUUGCGAAGGCAGCAUACCGGCGCCCGCCUGACGCUGAGGCACGAAAGCGUGGGGAUCGAACAGGAUUAGAUACCCGAGUAGUC